GACGAACGCUGGCGGCGUGCUUAACACAUGCAAGUCGAACGAUGAGGAAAAGAAUCGAAGCUUCGGCAGAAAUUCAUUUCGGAUUAGUGGCAGACGGGUGAGUAACGCGUGAGCAACCUACCUCUUACAAAGGGAUAGCCUCGGGAAACCGGGAUUAAUACCAUAUAACAUUGCGACGAAGCAUUUCGAUGCAAUCAAAGCUACGGCGGUAAGAGAUGGGCUCGCGUCCCAUUAACCGGAUGGUGAGGUAACGGCUCACCAUAGUGACGAUGGGUAACCGGCCUGAGAGGGUGAACGGUCACACUGGAACUGAGACACGGUCCAGACUCCUACGGGAGGCAGCAGUGGGGAAUAUUGCACAAUGGAGGGAACUCUGAUGCAGCGACGCCGCGUGAGUGAUGAAGGAAUUCGUUUCGUAAAACUCUGUUCUAUGGGAAGAAAAGGACUGUACCAUAGGAGAAAGCUCCGGCUAAAUACGUG
rnacentral:rRNA from 1 species